rnacentral:lncRNA from 1 species
AGUCGGUCUAUGAACAGCGCUGGACUUUUUUUACAAAAUAACCUUCUAGAAUUUUAAAAUUUAUAAAAUAAUAACAAUUUAUUCAUACAAUCCUAACAAUCAAAUAAAAAUUCUAAUAAUUCAUGUAUAAUUCUAAUCACCUCACUUUUUUUCUAUUUUUCAUCUAGCAACCUCACUUUUUCUUAUUUCAUGUACAAGAAAAGGUGAGAUGUUAGACGAAAAAUUAGAAUUUUUAUUUGAUUGUUAGGAUUAUAUGAAUAAAUUGUUAGGAUUUUAAGGUUGUUAAGAUUAUAUAUAAUUUGUUGUAAUUUUUAUGUGGUUGUUAAGAUUAUAUAUAAAAUAUAGAAAAAUUUAGUAAAUAAGCAAAAGACGGUAAACCAUUCACCGACUUCGUUAAUUAUAUUAGUAAGACGGUGAAUCGUUCACCGCGUUACUUAACGCGGUGAACAAUUCAUCACCUUCAUAAGAAAAAUCUGCCCCCACCCCUACGUAGCGAAAGGAGAAUUAGUUUUACAAAUAUAAGUUUGGAAGAAUUAUUUUGCAAAUUUUAAAACUCUAUAGGGUUAUUUUGUAAAAAAAAGUCAAACAGCGCUGCCGGACACUUCUGUUUUUUUUUUUCAAAUAACCUUCUAAUUGAUAGAAUAAUUGUUUUAAAAAAAUCAUUUGAGCAAAUAACCCUUCUUUUGCCAGUCCACUGAUGCCAAAAGUGGUGAAUCAUUCAUGUAAUUAAGAAGGUGGCGGCCAAUGAUUCACCACCUAUUACCACUUCUAAGUUCUACGUUCGGAAAAUUCAAAGUUCAAAUUCAACUUUAAAUUUUAAAAUUAAAUAUCAAAUUCAAAUUUAUAUUUUGAAUUCAUCGAAAAUUAAAUUCAAAUCUUUUAAAAUUCAACUUCACAUUUCAAUUUCAAAUUCAUAUUUUGAUUUGAAAUAUCAAUUCAAAUUCAUAUUCAGACUUUAAAUUCAAAGUUAUAAUUUUAAAUUUU